GACGAACGCUGGCGGCGUGCUUAACACAUGCAAGUCGAACGGAAAGGCCCUGCUUUUGUGGGGUGCUCGAGUGGCGAACGGGUGAGUAACACGUGAGUAACCUGCCCUUGACUUUGGGAUAACUUCAGGAAACUGGGGCUAAUACCGGAUAGGAGCUCCUGCUGCAUGGUGGGGGUUGGAAAGUUUCGGCGGUUGGGGAUGGACUCGCGGCUUAUCAGCUUGUUGGUGGGGUAGUGGCUUACCAAGGCUUUGACGGGUAGCCGGCCUGAGAGGGUGACCGGCCAAAUUGGGACUGGGAUACGGCCAAGACUCCUACGGGAGGCAGAAGUGGGGAAUAUUGCACAAUGGGCGGAAGCCUGAUGCAGAAACGCCGCGUGCGGGAUGACGGCCUUCGGGUUGUAAACGGCUUUCGCCUGUGACGAAGCGUGAGUGACGGUAAUGGGUAAAGAAGCACCGGCUAACUACGU
rnacentral:rRNA from 1 species